GAUGAACGCUGGCGGCGUGCCUAAUACAUGCAAGUCGAGCGGAAGGACGAGGAGCUUGCGGCGCGGACGUGAGGGGAGGAGGGGAGAGAAACACGUGGAUAACGCACCUAAAAGAGGGGUAUAAUCAGGGGAAACCGGAGAUUAUAGGGGAUAAUAUCUUGAAGCGCAGGGGGGAAAAGAGAAAGACGGUCGUGGGGGCACGAAUAGAUGGAUCCGCGCUGCAUUAGGUAGUUGGUAAGGUAACGGGUUAUGAAGGGAAGGAGGCAUAGCCGAGCGGAGUGGCUGGUCGCCCACCCUGGAGCUGAGCCACGCUCCAUACUCCUACGGGAGGCAGCAGUAGCGAAUCUUCCGCAAUGGGCGAAAGCCUGACGGAGCAACGCCGCGUGAGUGAUGACGGUCUUCGGAUCGUAAAACUCUGUUAUUAGGUAAGAACAUAUGUGUAAGUAGCUGUGCCCAUCUUGACGGUACCUAAUCAGAAAGCCCCGGCUAACUACGUG
rnacentral:rRNA from 1 species